rnacentral:rRNA from 1 species
CCUACGGGUGGCAGCAGUGAGGAAUAUUGGUCAAUGGGCGCGAGCCUGAACCAGCCAAGUAGCGUGAAGGAUGACUGCCCUACGGGUUGUAAACUUCUUUUAUAAAGGGAUAAAGUGCGGCACGUGUGCCUUUUUGUAGGUACCGCAUGAAUAAGGAUCGGCUAACUCCGUGCCAGCAGCCGCGGUAAUACGGAGGGUCCGGGCGUUAUCCGGAUUUAUUGGGUUUAAAGGGAGCGUAGGCGGGUUGUUAAGCCAGCUGUGAAAGUGUGUGGCUCAACCGUAAGAGUGCAGUUGAUAAUGGGAGGCGUGAGUACAGUUGAGGUAAGGGGAAUUCGGGGGGUAGGGGGGAAAAGGUUAGAUAUCACGAAGAACUCCCAAUGCGAAGGCAGGUUACUGGACUGGCACUGACAUUGAAGCUUGAAAGUGUGGGGAACGAAAAGGAGUAGAUACCCGAGUAGUC